rnacentral:rRNA from 1 species
CCUACGGGAGGCAACAGUAAGGAAUAUUGGACAAUGGGCGCAAGCCUGAUCCAGCCAUGCCGCGUGAAGGAUUAAGGUCCUCUGGAUUGUAAACUUCUUUUAUAGGGGACGAAAAAAGGGCAUUCUUGCCCACUUGACGGUACCCUAUGAAUAAGCACCGGCUAACUCCGUGCCAGCAGCCGCGGUAAUACGGAGGGUGCAAGCGUUAUCCGGAUUCACUGGGUUUAAAGGGUGCGUAGGCGGGCAGGUAAGUCAGUGGUGAAAUCCUAGAGCUUAACUCUAGAACUGCCAUUGAUACUAUCUGUCUUGAAUAUUGUGGAGGUAAGCGGAAUAUGUCAUGUAGCAGUGAAAUGCUUAGAUAUGACAUAGAACACCUAUUGCGAAGGCAGCUUACUACGCAUAUAUUGACGCUGAGGCACGAAGGCGUGGGGAUCAAACAGGAUUAGAUACCCUGGUAGUCCACGCCCUAAACGAUGGAUACUCGACAUACGCGAUACACUGUGUGUGUCUGAGCGAAAGCAUUAAGUAUCCCACCUGGGAAGUACGUCCGCAAGGAUGAAACUUAAAUGAAUUGACGG